AGUGAACGCUGGCGGUAGGCCUAACACAUGCAAGUCGAACGGCAGCACAGUAAGAGCUUGCUCUUACGGGUGGCGAGUGGCGGACGGGUGAGGAAUACAUCGGAAUCUACUUUUUCGUGGGGGAUAACGUAGGGAAACUUACGCUAAUACCGCAUACGACCUACGGGUGAAAGCAGGGGAUCUUCGGACCUUGCGCGAUUGAAUGAGCCGAUGUCGGAUUAGCUAGUUGGCGGGGUAAAGUCCCACCAAGGCGACGAUCCGUAGCUGGUCUGAGAGGAUGAUCAGCCACACUGGAACUGAGACACGGUCCAGACUCCUACGGGAGGCAGCAGUGGGGAAUAUUGGACAAUGGGCGCAAGCCUGAUCCAGCCAUACCGCGUGGGUGAAGAAGGCCUUCGGGUUGUAAAGCCCUUUUGUUGGGAAAGAAAAGCAGCAGGUUAAUACCCCGCUGUUCUGACGGUACCCAAAGAAUAAGCACCGGCUAACUUCGUG
rnacentral:rRNA from 1 species